rnacentral:rRNA from 1 species
ACGUAGGUGGCAAGCGUUGUCCGGAAUUAUUGGGCGUAAAGCGCGCGCAGGCGGAUCAGUCAGUCUGUCUUAAAAGUUCGGGGCUUAACCCCGUGAUGGGAUGGAAACUGCUGAUCUAGAGUAUCGGAGAGGAAAGUGGAAUUCCUAGUGUAGCGGUGAAAUGCGUAGAUAUUAGGAAGAACAUCAGUGGCGAAGGCGACUUUCUGGACGAAAACUGACGCUGAGGCGCGAAAGCCAGGGGAGCGAACGG